rnacentral:lncRNA from 1 species
CAGCAGUCAAAGCUAUCCUUUUAAAAUAUGUCAUAUCAUGUCAUUCCUCUAAAAAUUCCACAGUGGCUCCACAUCUGACUCACAGGGAAAGCCUGCAUCCCUGCCAUGGCCACCGAGGCCCAACGUGAUCUCUUUCCUGUUGCCUCCCUGAUGUCAUCAGCCUCUCCUUGUUCACUCUGCUGCAGCCACACUGGCCUCCUCAGUGUUCUUUGACUUCUCUGGGCCCACUCCCACCUUAGCGCCUUGGCUUUAGCUGUUCCUUCUGCCUAGAAUCCCUCACUCCUUCAAGAUUUGCUCAAGUCACAUCUUCUCAGUAUGCCUGCCGUGGCCUCUGUUUAAUAAUGGAAUGUGCCCAUGCAUCCAUCCCAUCCCUAGACAGCACUCCUGGUCUCCCUUCUCUGCUCCUCUCUUCUUUUCCAGAGCAGCUGUCACUUUCUAACUCACUAUUUAAUUUUACUUAUUUAUUCUGUGUAUUCUUCAUUGUUUUCUGUUCCAUUUCUCUCCCUCACCCCACCUCAGUUGGAAUAUUAGCUUAUAAAGGCAAACAUCUCUGUUUUCUUCACUGUUGUUCCCAGCACCUGAGAACCAUGGUUGGCACGUGGGGCACGAAUAAUCUUUGUUGAGUGAAAGGAUGAAUGAAUGAAUCUCUUUGAAGAUAUUCAUGAUUUGUUUUUGAAGUUUCUUUCUCCCUUCAUGCCUGUCUUUUCUUUGUUUUGCUUUUUCUGUUUCUUUACUUUGGUCUCUAUCUUUCAGGUGAUCCUUGACUGUCAACUCAUUGUAAAGAGUGAGGAUACAAAACCCAGUGGAGCUCUGUGCCUUUGGGAGGGCCUUGUUGACUGUAGGAUUCUUUGUGGGUCAAUCUGCCUGGGCCAUUCGUUGGGGAAUACCCACAGUCAGUAACUUUGGAUCCCUUUUUGAGGCUCAUCUUUCCCAGACAGGGCUGGCUACUGAUGUCUGGGAACCAAGUUGGUGAAGAAGGCUGGGAGUCUUGGCACUGACACUAUUCACAAUAGCCAGACGUGGAAACAAUCCAAGUGCCCAUUGACUGAUGAUUGGAUAAAGAAG